rnacentral:rRNA from 1 species
GAUGAACGCUGGCGGCGUGCCUAAUACAUGCAAGUCGAGCGAACAGAUAAGGAGCUUGCUCCUUUGACGUUAGCGGCGGACGGGUGAGUAACACGUGGAUAACCUACCUAUAAGACUGGGAUAACUUCGGGAAACCGGAGCUAAUACCGGAUAACAUAUUGAACCGCAUGGUUCAAUAGUGAAAGGCGGCUUUGCUGUCACUUAUAGAUGGAUCCGCGCCGUAUUAGCUAGUUGGUAAGGUAACGGCUUACCAAGGCAACGAUACGUAGCCGACCUGAGAGGGUGAUCGGCCACACUGGAACUGAGACACGGUCCAGACUCCUACGGGAGGCAGCAGUAGGGAAUCUUCCGCAAUGGGCGAAAGCCUGACGGAGCAACGCCGCGUGAGUGAUGAAGGUCUUCGGAUCGUAAAACUCUGUUAUCAGGGAAGAACAAAUGUGUAAGUAACUGUGCACGUCUUGACGGUACCUGAUCAGAAAGCCACGGCUAACUACGUG